rnacentral:lncRNA from 1 species
GCGUCGGUUUUCCCAUCAUCAUCAUCCGCCUCCGGGAGCUCGGAGGCAGGGAGGUCCUGCUCCCCACCCUCGUCCUCUUCCUCCAGCCCCGGGGAGGGGGGCUCCAGGCAGGCGGUCAGGGCGUUGCAGUUGGAGUCCAGGCCAGGGCCAGGAGGGGAGGACGCUCCGGAGCAGGAAUCGGGCGAGCAGCAGAAGCUGUCCGGGGAGCAGGCGCCAGGGCCUGCGGAAGCCAGUGGGGAGCCCUGCUCCAGGGGGGUGAUGCUGGGCUGAGGGCGGACAUGCUCGUCGCCAGGGAGGCCCCGCGAGUACACGGAGACGGGGGUCUCGUCAGGGCUAAGAUCUGAGCAGGAGCUGAGCGAGGAGGAGCAGCCCGGGUCCGAGGGGGAGGCAGCCCCCUCUUCCUCCUGGGCCGGGUCCUGCCGGUUUUCCAAGCCUGGCCCGUGCUCCUGGCAGCAGCGGCAGGGCACGGCUGGGCUGUUGGAAUUGGCAUCCACCAGGGCCCCGCUGCAGGGGCCCCGGCUCUCCUUGCCCCCGGUGUCCCCUGGGGGAGGGGACGUGCUCAAGGGCCCCUCCCGUAGCUCAGGACGGCGGGACAGGUGCAGGCCCAGAGAGACAUGCUGGAGGUGGAUGUGGUUGAGGUUGCAAAGUAAAGCCCUCUGAGGGGACAGCAUUGUGCCGCCGGCGACGGGAUGGCCUCUCGACAAUCAGGAGGAUCGGGCCUCUCACACCCGCCUACCUGGCAACGGCAGACGCAGACCUGGAAGACAGGGACGGUGAAACCCAGCCAGAGAGGGCGCGGGCCGCGGGAAGGACACCGAGGUGACUGACAGCUGCAGCAGGCAUGAAAGGCGCCGGCCGCUUCGGACAAUAUUUCAAUGAGAUGCAAAUGUCCACCGACUGACCAUUAGUUUCCACUGCAGUAUUUGCAGGUGGAGCCGAAGGGAGCCCCCCGGGAAUGGGGCGGGGAGGGUCAGAGAAUGCGGCUGCGCGUCCGCGCUCUGGAUCUCCGUGGAGGUGCGGGGGCUUGAAAAAGGAUGGGGCCCGGAAUGGAGCCCCAGAUCGUCUCUGCUGCAGUCUGGCCCUGUCCCCCCACCCCACCCCACCCCACCCCAGCCCACCGCCGCCCCUUCCCCAGCCUGCCCUUCACUCCCAGGGGAAGGGGCCGAGGGAGGCCCCGCCCAGAUGCUCUGAAGCCGGGUGGGGGAUGGCGCGUCUGGCCGCUCAAUGCGCGAAAGGGGCAGCGUGUCGGGUCCGCGUGGCAGGUCGGCCGGCACAGAGCUCGGCGGCCUCGGUGCACCUGCGCUGGGACCCCGUGCUCGUCCAUUCUCUCCGCGCUGGUUCCCAUCACCCAGCCGNNNNNNNNNNNNNNNNNNNNNNNNNNNNNNNNNNNNNNNNNNNNNNNNNNNNNNNNNNNNNNNNNNNNNNNNNNNNNNNNNNNNNNNNNNNNNNNNNCGAGGGGGGGGGGGGGGGGGGGGGGCGCUGGGACAACCCGCCGGCGCUGCGCAGCCGCGCCCCUUCACGCAUGGGCGUGGCGUGGCUCAGACCCAGCCCCCAGCGCCUGACGUCGCGCCUGUGUCACCCACCGAGGCCCAGGGUGCAGCUUUCGAGGUCUCAGGCUUUCGGUCCUCAGGGGUCCCGAAGGCAAGGCCCCCUGGUCCCCGCUUCCGUGCAGCCACCCCCACCCCUGCCCACCCUGGCCGGAGCCGCGCCCCCGGCUAGCACAGCAGGAACAGGUCCACGACAAGGUUCGACAAUUUAUUGAGCGCCUCGCGGCCCCGCCUCGCCCAACCUCUCCCGGUCCCCGGUGCCCGGGUCACUUUUUCCUCUUGUAGAUCUUGUGCGCCAGCCCCAGGAAGAUGGCCGGGGGCAGGGGCGCAGAGUGCUGCUCGAUGAGGCCCAUCAGGCGGCCGUAGCUGUCCUCUUGGUACUGCCCGAACACGGCCGGCAGCUCCAGCUCCUCGUAGAGCGCCUUCACCCGGGCCACCUUCUCGGCCUCCUUUUGCCCAUAGUUCUCCUGGAAGGGUUUGGGGGCAGGAGAACGGGCUCAGCCUACCCCACCAGCGCCUCCGGGUGCCCGGCACGCCCCUCAUGCACAGAUUCCAGAACAUCUCUAUCGCUGGUCACUACUUCCCGCCUCCGGUUUCCAGGGUCUUUGAGCGCCUCCGAUCUUCAACUUCCGUCUCCCCACCCCAAAUGCUCAGAUACUGGCUCAGGACUCAGUUUCUUCUCCCCCGGGGUUUCUCAACCUGGGCACUACUCAAACUCAGGGCUGGAGACUCUCCUGCGGGGGAAGCCGUUCUGUGCACUCUGUGCAUUUGGCGGCUUCCCGGCCUCUACCCAGGAGGCACCUGCAGCGCAUGCGCACACCAAGUUACAACAGAAAAACAACGUCUGCAAAAGCACCCCCACUUGAGAAUCACUGCCCCGUCCCCCUCCUUACGAGCCCAGGUCCACAGCCCUCUCUCCGGCACCUGAAGGACCUUGCGCUGCUCUGGAGAGGCCCGCUGCAGACACUGAACCACCAGCCAGCUGCAUUUGUUGUCCUGGAUGUCCGUGCCGAUCUUGCCUGUCACACUGGGGUCCCCAAAGAGAUCAAGGUAAUCAUCCUGGCAGGGGCAGAAAAGGCAGAGUGGAGAGGCUCCGGAGACAGGAAGCUGUGGCCUGCUCCCACCGGCACCUUCCUACCUGCACCUGGAAGAACUCCCCCAUCUCCAGCAGGAUCUUCCUGGCGCUGGCGUGCUCCUUCUCCCCAUCGAUGCCCGCCUAUGGCGGAAAGGGGAGCGGUGAGCCCAACUCCAGGGGGGCCUCCGCUUUCCCUGCUGCUGCUCUGGGCGGGGGGUGGGGGGCUGGCCUCAGCACAGCCCCCAAAUCGUCUCCCCUCUCCUUUCAGACAUGCCUGGCCGCCCGGAUGCAGGACGUCUGGACCGCCCGACCUCUACCCGCUUAUGCCAGCGGAGCCUCCGGGUGAGGGCCAGCAGAGGCGGGUCAGCCCCAGAGGCCUGCGGACCCCGGGCAACACUCUUCUUCCUAACGCUUCACCAUUUACCACUUCUGCGCGAUGAAAAGGGAAAUGGAGAAGCGAGGUCAGCGCAGGCAGUUAGCCCAGGGUUCUCCACAUCACACCGUGUGACCUCCUCCCCACUCCCAUCCAGACUCGACGGGCUGACUGCUUUCACGUCCCUUGCCUUGGCUAAUGGUCAUAAAAAUCCCGGGGAGGGAACUUUAUCAUCUUACAGCUGAGAGCAGGCUCAGACAGCUUAAGUAACUUGGUCGAGGUCACACAGCCACGCAGUGGGGACACGAGACUGCCCGAAGACGUCUGCUUUGUGCCCUCUUGUCCAAAAGCCCCAUCAGGGGGCAGCAAGGGUGGAGAGGCUCACUCACCAUGUACAUGGCGGCAGCCACAGGAAGAUAGAACGAGUAGAAAGCGGUCUUAUACUUGACGAUGGACUUGUACCUGGGCAGGGGAGAAGAUACACCGCUCAGAAGGGCAGUGCCCAGCACAGCCCUCCCGGGCCGUCCAGAUGCAGUUCCCACCAUCCCUCACCUCUUUUCAGUGAAUCUGCUGAGAUCCACAUUGCCCUGGGGGGCCGUGAUGAGGUCCAGCGUCUGUCCGAGCUCAGUCUGAUAGGAACUCUGAGGAGGAAGAUGGCCCAUAACCUUGCCUUUCUCCAGGGCUGGGAAACCCUGAAAUCCCGGGACCCACAUCCCAUGCCAUGGGCAGUCAGAGAGGCAGCAAGGACAGGGCCCUUGGGGUGCCCGGGUGGCACAGCUGGUUAAGCGUCUGACUCUUGAUCUCGGCUCAGGUCAUGAUCUCACGGUUCGAGCCCUGUAUCGGGCCCUGCGUGGUCAGUGGGGAGCCUGCUUGGGAUUCUCUCUCCCCCUCUCUCUGCCCCUCCCCCACCCAGUGGCUCACUCGCUCACUCUCUCAACAUAAAUUAAUUAAAAAAAAAAAAGAGGGAGAGGGCCCCGAGCCUCAUGGCCCAUCCUGACCCGAUCACGGAGACCAGGGAAGCCCUUCCUGCCACCACCCUGCCCGGCACCCUUCCCGGCAGACCUAGCGCUCUCCCGUGCCCCGAGCGAUGCCAGAUGAAAGUGGCCCAGGGAGGCCAGGCCUGCAGCACACCUGUAGGAAGAGCUCAAUCAGGUUCAGGUAAUAGGGCUGCUCCCGGCAGUAGAGCCUCAGCACGCGGUAGAUACAUGCUUCCAGAAGCAACGCGUCAUUGAUGGCAUCCAGACCUAUGCCUGGCUGUCGGGGACGCAGAAGAAACAUGCGGUCGAUCUCUGGCCACUGUGGACACCUCGGCGGGCUCGAGGUCACCACCACCCCAGGCCCUUUGCCACGCCCACUGCUGACUUCUCGCCCGGUAGUAUCGCACCUUCUGAUACCAGCAGACCUGCCCCCGCCGGGUGAGGGAUGAAUCCAUGAUGUCGUCCGACACCAGGAAGAAAGC